GCCAAUCAGCGGAAGCCGCCGGGGCCGCCUAGAGAAGAGGCUGUGCUUCGGCGCUCCGGCUCCUCAGAGAGCCUCGGCUAGGUGUGGAAACAGGAAGAGAACUAGAACUGGAAGUAAAGCAUUGAAGAUGUGACUGAAUUGCUGCAAUCUCAUGAUCAAAUUUGAAUGGAUGAGGAGUUGCUUUUUAGGGAUGAGCAAAGAAAGUGGUUUCUCGAGAUGGAAUCUACUGGUUGCUCCUUGAGGGCAGGACAGUUCUUAUGGCUUUAUCCGUUGCGUAAGCACAGAGAGGUCUGCGAGGUCAAAACUAUUGUCAUGAUAGCAAGAUGCCUGUCUUUUUCAUUUAUUCUCACGGUGUGCAGAGGCUACAUGAUGUGUGAUGACAUCCUCAUUGAUGUUAAUGAAUGGUGCUAUACUUGAAUUUUCUAAGGUGUCAUUAGGUAGGUUUAGGUAUGCAUACUUGUUUUUAGAAAUUAUUUUUUUCCUUUUUCCCAUUUUUAGAAAUCAACUCAUUUUUUAGGUUAUGCCUUCAGUAAUCUUUGCAACCUCAAUAUUGUGUAAUGGUUACUUUAAAAUACUGUAGUUUUCUUUGUGCCUAAGUAUAAACAUAAGUACAUUUUGUUGUUUUGUUUGCAAUAGUGGUUUAAAUAUUUUCCCAAAAUAUCCAAAUUUAAAAAUUCUACAACUUUAGAAUUUAAUAAAUUUAUUCUAAAAUAUUUAUAUAUUUUUUCAUUUAAGAAUGGAUCGGCUUAAAAAGACUGCUUCUCAUUUACUUACUGGCUAUACCAUCUGUAUACUAAUAAAAAACAAGAUUUGAUUUGGAAGGACUGACUCAAACUAACGAAAAUAUGAAACCUGUCUUUCUGCUUUGGAGAUAUUUACCUAAUCAUGUUCUGCAGUAGAAUAAUUUAGUUCUUUUGUCUUUUUUUGGAGAUGAGGUCUUGCUGUGUUGCCCAGGCUAUUCACAGCUGCCAUCAUAGUGAACUACAGCCUGAAACUCCUGGGUUCAAGAGAUCCUUCUGCCUCAGCCUCCUGAGUAGCUGGAACUAUAGGCAUGCGCCACCAAGCCUGGGCUUUUAAAAAAAUUUUAAAAAGAAUUUUGAGACAGGAUCUUGCCAUGUUGCUCAGGCUAGUCUUCAACUCCUAGCCCUGAGUGAUCUUGCUUUGGGCCUCUCAAAAUGUUGAGUUAAUAGGCGUGAGCCACCAUACCCAGCCAAAAAUUUUUUUAGAGAUGGGAAUGGAAUGAUCUUGAAUAGUGUUGGUGCCACCUAUGUUGUGGCAUCAUUUUGAAACCAAUCAUUCAGAGUGCUUUUUUUGGUAAGGCAUUAUUUUUUAAUGCAGGUAUGCCACUACUGGGAAAAAAAAAAAAACAGGUUUUAAAGCUAGAAAUGAAAAGCUACUUAAGUAUCUUAAAGGAUAAGUUACUUUAUUAUACACUAGAAACAUACACAAUAGCUGAAAAACUUAAAAAAUCUCACACUGCUGAAUGUCUCUGCUGGCUGAAGUGUAAGUAAAAGAUCAUAGUAGUGCCGCUGUUGAGUGAUAAAGCAACUUGUCAUUAAAGAUGUGUGUGCAGACAUGGAUUCUGAGUUAAUAUCUCAUCUGUAGAAGUAUAUAUUUGUCCCUUGCUUUGGGAUUGGUUUCUGGACAGCACUCCCCCACCCUUGCUGGCCAUUUGCCAAGGACACCAAAACCCAAGGAUGUUGAAUUCCCUUUUAUAAAAUGGCGCUGUAUCUGCAUACAACUUACACACAUCCUCCCAUAUACUUUAAAUCAUUUCCAGAUUUCUUAUACUUCAUACAAUGUGAAUGCUAUAUAAAUAGUUGUUACAUUGUGUACUUAUAUUUGUACUAUUGUAUUAAAUAUUCUCAAAUAUUUUCA
ensembl:lncRNA THUMPD3-AS1 THUMPD3 antisense RNA 1